rnacentral:rRNA from 1 species
GAUGAACGCUAGCUACAGGCUUAACACAUGCAAGUCGAGGGGCAGCGGGAUUGAAGCUUGCUUCAAUUGCCGGCGACCGGCGCACGGGUGAGUAACGCGUAUCCAACCUUCCGCUUACUCGGGGAUAGCCUUUCGAAAGAAAGAUUAAUACCCGAUGGCAUAGUUCUUCCGCAUGGUAGAACUAUUAAAGAAUUUCGGUCAUCGAUGGGGAUGCGUUCCAUUAGGUUGUUGGCGGGGUAACGGCCCACCAAGCCUUCGAUGGAUAGGGGUUCUGAGAGGAAGGUCCCCCACAUUGGAACUGAGACACGGUCCAA